rfam:Gossypium hirsutum cultivar TM-1 chromosome 22, whole genome shotgun sequence
CACAUCAGCGCGCUUUGCUAACGUGGACACAAAUCGCGCUUACGUGGCGUGAUUUGUUGCCAUGUCAGCAAAGCGUGCUGAUGUGG